UGAAGACGACGACGUUGAUAGGCCGGGGGUGUAAGCGCAGCGAUGCGUUGAGCUAACCGGUACUAAUGAACCGUGAGGCUUAACCUUACAACGCCGAAGGUGUUU
rnacentral:rRNA from 1 species